rnacentral:miRNA from 1 species
UUUGUAUUACGUGCGGAAAUUGUUACCAUUUUUGAGCCGAAAAUCGUAACAAUUUCCGCACGUAAUACAAA